AUGACGUUUCAACAAGAGGGAGUGAGCAUUUUCCUUAAUGACGUCGCAUAUACCGGCUGUUUGACUCGGAAGCCAUACAAGCGUGUAAAGAAGAAAUGACCGACAGUGACCUCAGAUAAGAUGUUGAAGACCUAUCUUUUGUCUUCAUCUCUUUACAACACAUCAGCAAUAAUGUAGAACUCUGAAAAAACAAUUGUAAAUUUUGAAGCGCCUUCGAAACGUCGAGUCGUUACGCAUCUGUCUGUCUCCCAAACGUUCAUAUUUGCUGCGUAAAAUCAUGGAAAAUGCUGAAACAUCCGAUCAAAACGGAGCGACGCACUACACGAACGGUUUAGUAAACGGAUUUCACACCCUACAGUCCGAUGACGGGGAGUGUAUUUCAUCUAACGGAGGUGGUCUGGGUGCUAGUGACAGUAGCGGUGGCCAUAAUGGUAUUGAAAAUUUCCACCAUCUUCAUCAGGAUGUACACACCAAUGGUUCGCCCGCGAAGCGCUGCAGACUCCGAAGACGCGUGGAUUCGGGAAAGAAGAACAGACCGCCCUUUCCAUGGUUUGGGAUGGAUAUCGGAGGCACUCUGGUAAAGCUGGUUUACUUUGAGCCCAAGGACAUAACUGCUGAAGAAGAACAAGAAGAAGUGGAGAGCCUGAAGAGCAUCCGCCGCUAUCUGACCUCCAACGUGGCCUAUGGAAACAUGGGUAUCCGUGACGUUCACCUGGAGUUGAAGAACCUCACCAUGUGUGGCCGGAAAGGCAACCUACACUUCAUUCGGUUCCCCACGCAAGACAUGCACCGCUUCAUCCAAAUGGGCAGAGACAAGAACUUCUCCAGUCUACACACCACACUGUGCGCCACGGGUGGGGGCGCAUACAAGUUUGAGGACGACUUCAGAACGGUGGCUGGUUUGGAGCUCCAGAAGCUGGAUGAACUGGACUGUCUUAUUCAAGGUCUGCUGUAUGUUGACUCAGUCAGGUUCAAUGGCCAUCCCGGGUGUUAUUUUUUCCAAAAUCCCUCCGACCCUGAAAACUGUGUCAAGAGGCCAUUUAGCCUGGAGAACCCCUUCCCUAUGUUGCUGGUAAACAUUGGCUCGGGGGUUAGCAUCCUGGCUGUCUACUCCAAGGAUGAUUACAAGCGAGUCACAGGCACCAGUUUAGGAGGUGGCACGUUUCUAGGCCUGUGUUGUUUGCUGACUGGCUGUGAGACAUUUGAGGAGGCUUUAGAGAUGGCAGCUAAAGGGGACAGCACAAAUGUGGACAAACUAGUGAAGGACAUUUAUGGAGGUGAUUAUGAGCGCUUCGGUCUCCAGGGUUCCGCCGUUGCAUCCAGUUUUGGUCAUAUGAUGAGCAAGGAGAAACGUGAUAGUAUAAGUAAAGAGGACCUGGCCAGGGCCACUCUUGUCACCAUCACAAACAACAUUGGUUCCAUCGCCCGCAUGUGUGCAGUGAACGAGAAUAUCGAUAGAGUGGUUUUUGUUGGGAAUUUCCUUCGGAUCAACACCGUAUCAACUAAGCUGCUAGCCUAUGCCAUGGACUUCUGGUCUAACGGACAACUGAAAGCCCUUUUCUUAGAACAUGAAGGUUAUUUUGGAGCUGUUGGUGCCUUCCUAGAGCUACUGAAGAUGACUGAAGACUCCUGAGACACUGAGGAAAACCCAACCUUCAAACCAGAAGCUGCUGUAAGAUUUCAGGAAAGCCACAUCCCCUAAUAAGGAAAAGCCAUUUAAUAAUGUGACAAGUUUCCAUUUCUCUUCAAAUUAUCUACAUGUUGGCCCUUCUAUGCUCGUGACAGGAGCAACUGUUCAAGAGGUUGUGAUGCAACAGUGCACCAUUUUCAGUGUGUGAUGAGCUUCACCUCAUGCCAACUGUUUCUAGUCACCGUAGCCAUAAACCCAGCACAGCUUUGCCGUGUAUUGAUGAUUUGAGUGGAAGAUGAUUUAGGAUACUAAUGUUUGUAUACUCCCUCUACUCCCUGUUUGUGAGCUUUAUGAAAACAGUCGUAACAUAUGAAAAGGGUUUGGAGGUGAGUAUUAUGUGUAUUAGUGGAACAGCCUGCUGUAUAAAAACAACCUUCCCCAAUCCUCUCUGAACAAAUCAUGCUUUGAACCACAAAUCAGAUUUAUAUUUACGCAUAGAUAAGCGGUCUGUAAGAACAGUCCAUUUACGCGGGACUUUUCUCUCCCAAUUCCAGUCACAUACAAGCAUUUAUAAUAUCUGUAUUACGUUAAAAAUGCUAAGUUGUAUUAUUAAUCGUAAAGUCGUCUUGGACACUAAAGCGCGAGUCCAAAUUCAUUCAUUUUUUUAUAACAAUACAUCAAAUACCAUUUGAAUUUCAGUACUUUUCAAUUAGAUCAAUCUUUUAUUUGAACACUUUUACAGAAUUAGCAAACUGUUGUCAGGUAGACCUGUUUUAUCUACACUGGGCCUGAUUAGUGGAUGAUUAGUGGAUUGCUGGUAUGAGUAGUUGUAGUUUCUAAGAUAUCUUUACCUCCUUUUAACUGUCCUGUGUAAUGAACAGUGAACAUAUGCACCUGAGCUGACACUGAUUGUGUUGGGACCAAAUUGUCUACAUUGACUGGAAAACAGUAUCUUCAUCAGAUGGCGAAUUCUCAUAGUUCACUACAUAUAGUUUAGUAAGUCCUUUCUUACGGUGAUAAUGAUUUUUAUUCGGUUUUGCAGUCCCAAAUGCUGAGAUUUCUCUGAUCUGAAUGUGUUAACAGUUUACCCUGUGUAUAUACACUGUAGUGUGUAAUGUUUUGUUGUUUUGUUUUUAUUUAAUUUAACAUUUGCACAAACCAUCUCUUGUCAUAUUCAUGCCAUUAUGCAGUGAUGUCUUAAAUUUCAUUUGAGACUGCUAACCAAGACAUAUAUUUACUGUCAAACCUCCUCGCAGAUGCCUUUAUCCUUUCAACAUUUUCAUCUUAAACAUCAUCUAUUACUGAACAUAUUUUGCCUUUUUUCCCCCCUCAUGUAUCAACAUGAGAAUCUCUAACUAUAUGCCUAAACACCUUUUAACUCUCUGUAUUAAUGCUGGACAGCUGGGUCUGACUGUGCACGCUCCAGGUUGUUGUUCAGAACCAGAUGUAUGUUAAAAUGUGCUCCUAAAGCUGGAAUCAGAAAUUCCAAAAAAGUUAUUCCAGUCACUAUAAUCUGUCUAAAUAUGUAAAUCAGAAACAUACGCCUUUCUAAGAGAAAAUGUAUCGCUUUUCCCUCCGUUUGAGCCACAGCAUGACACCAGAUACAUUUCUGCCAAUUUAAAUUUCUCAUCUUGCCUUGACACUGUAAAUAUGAACUAAAAAGGCAUUCAAUACUUUAUUUUUAACAGCACUGAGAAAAUAAACCGGUUUCAAGCUUGUUUUUUUUAUUUAAUUUUUUUUGCUGAACAUCGUGAAUGCAAGCAAGACCAAAACUCCUAAAAGGAAGUAAUAAGAGGAAUAAUAUCAUGAUGCAAUUUCUAUUAGACGAUUCUGUCUUUUAUGUCAAAAAUAAUCACCUAUUGUGAGUGUACUGAACCUACUACAUGUUCAUCAGGUACUGUAACUCAACAACAGACCUGUGCUGACAUUAAUGUGUCUUUUAGCUGCUGGUAACAUCUGUAACAGCACAUUAAGCACACUGCCUCUACUUCUUUUCCUUCUGUCUGUUGAUUGAUGCUUUACUUCUUCUGCUCAGUCCUUAGAAUUGCCUUAUGCCAGUGGGGUGCCAUUUUGUCUUUGGAUGUCACUCUGGAUUAUGCACAAUGGCAUCCCAACAUCUCUCUGAGCCACAAAAGUAACUUCCAAGUGUUACGGGGUGCCUUUUACUGAUAGAGACAAGGCUUUAUCUCUGUAUCCUCUGUAUUGUUGCUAAUGCUAAAUCCAGAUGUCACUGUAUACAGUAAACAGUAUAUUUGGGGUGUUUUCUUUUUCUUUUUGGGGGGUAUUGCUUUACCUGUAUUCCACAGCAGACUGAAUGCAUGUGUCGGUACAUUGUGUUUUUACUGAGCCAAUGCAAAGCAUGUAAGCAAUUUCUGAACAGGUGUGUCAUUUCCUUAAGGUGAUGAUAUACGGGGCAACAUUUUGAGCAAUGUUGCUGGUCAAUGUUACCAUCAACGGGCAACCAGGUAUCCCAUUC